rnacentral:rRNA from 1 species
ACUUCCGUUAAUUGAUUAUGACGUACUUGUACUGAUUGAGAUUUUAACACGAAGUGAGUGGCGAACGGGUGAGUAACACGUGGGUAACCUGCCCAGAAGUAGGGGAUAACACCUGGAAACAGAUGCUAAUACCGUAUAACAGAGAAAACCGCAUGGUUUUCUUUUAAAAGAUGGCUCUGCUAUCACUUCUGGAUGGACCCGCGGCGUAUUAGCUAGUUGGUGAGGUAAAGGCUCACCAAGGCAGUGAUACGUAGCCGACCUGAGAGGGUAAUCGGCCACAUUGGGACUGAGACACGGCCCAGACUCCUACGGGAGGCAGCAGUAGGGAAUCUUCCACAAUGGACGCAAGUCUGAUGGAGCAACGCCGCGUGAGUGAAGAAGGGUUUCGGCUCGUAAAGCUCUGUUGUUAAAGAAGAACGUGGGUAAGAGUAACUGUUUACCCAGUGACGGUAUUUAACCAGAAAGCCACGGCUAACUACGUGCCAGCAGCCGCGGUAAUACGUAGGUGGCAAGCGUUAUCCGGAUUUAUUGGGCGUAAAGCGAGCGCAGGCGGUCUUUUAAGUCUAAUGUGAAAGCCUUCGGCUCAACCGAAGAAGUGCAUUGGAAACUGGGAGACUUGAGUGCAGAAGAGGACAGUGGAACUCCAUGUGUAGCGGUGAAAUGCGUAGAUAUAUGGAAGAACACCAGUGGCGAAGGCGGCUGUCUGGUCUGCAACUGACGCUGAGGCUCGAAAGCAUGGGUAGCGAACAGGAUUAGAUACCCUGGUAGUCCAUGCCGUAAACGAUGAUUACUAAGUGUUGGAGGGUUUCCGCCCUUCAGUGCUGCAGCUAACGCAUUAAGUAAUCCGCCUGGGGAGUACGACCGCAAGGUUGAAACUCAAAAGAAUUGACGGGGGCCCGCACAAGCGGUGGAGCAUGUGGUUUAAUUCGAAGCUACGCGAAGAACCUUACCAGGUCUUGACAUCUUCUGACAGUCUAAGAGAUUAGAGGUUCCCUUCGGGGACAGAAUGACAGGUGGUGCAUGGUUGUCGUCAGCUCGUGUCGUGAGAUGUUGGGUUAAGUCCCGCAACGAGCGCAACCCUUAUUACUAGUUGCCAGCAUUAAGUUGGGCACUCUAGUGAGACUGCCGGUGACAAACCGGAGGAAGGUGGGGACGACGUCAAAUCAUCAUGCCCCUUAUGACCUGGGCUACACACGUGCUACAAUGGAUGGUACAACGAGUCGCGAGACCGCGAGGUUAAGCUAAUCUCUUAAAACCAUUCUCAGUUCGGACUGUAGGCUGCAACUCGCCUACACGAAGUCGGAAUCGCUAGUAAUCGCGGAUCAGCAUGCCGCGGUGAAUACGUUCCCGGGCCUUGUACACACCGCCCGUCACACCAUGAGAGUUUGU